GCCUACGGGGGGCAGCAGUGGGGAAUAUUGGACAAUGGGCGAAAGCCUGAUCCAGCCAUGCCGCGUGAGUGAUGAAGGCCUUAGGGUUGUAAAGCUCUUUCGCACGCGACGAUAAUGACGGUAGCGUGACAAGAAGCCCCGGCUAACUUCGUGCCAGCAGCCGCGGUAAUACGAAGGGGGCUAGCGUUGUUCGGAAUCACUGGGCGUAAAGCGCAUGCAGGCGGAUCGUUAAGUCGGGGGUGAAAUCCCGAGGCUCAACCUCGGAACUGCCUUCGAUACUGGCGAUCUUGAGUCCGGGAGAGGUGAGUGGAACUGCGAGUGUAGAGGUGAAAUUCGUAGAUAUUCGCAAGAACACCAGUGGCGAAGGCGGCUCACUGGCCCGGUACUGACGCUCAGGUGCGAAAGCGUGGGGAGCAAACAGGAUUAGAUACCCUGGUAGU
rnacentral:rRNA from 1 species